CAGUAGCCGCGGUAAGACGAACCGUGCGAACGUUAUUCGGAAUUACUGGGCUUAAAGCGCGUGUAGGCGGGCCGCCACGUCGGUUGCUGAAAUCCCCCGGCUCAACCGGGGAAGUGGCAUCGAUACGAGCGGCCUUGAGGGGGGUAGGGGGAUCUGGAACUUCCGGUGGAGCGGUGGAAUGCGUUGAGAUCGGAAGGAACGCCCGUGGCGAAAGCGAGGUCCUGGACCCUUUCUGACGCUGAGACGCGAAAGCCAGGGGAGCGAACGGGAUUAGAUACCCGCGUAGUCCCUGUCUCUUAUA
rnacentral:rRNA from 1 species